AAUAUAAAAAAGGAAUAUUUUCAUUGAUUAGAUUUAGUAAGUUGCGUCUUUCAUACGUUCAGUAUUACUACAUCUUUAUAAGUUCAAUGCAGUAGAGCCUUAUAACCCUCUCUAAGUAUCGUUCGACCAACAUGAAAAGAAAAAAGGAGUAAGAUGAUAAUAGUUGGUCGAUUGUAUUACGCAUAGCCGUAAGCUCUGCAGAUGCGUGAUGCGCUAAACGUGACGCGGUACGACGUUCCGCGGGUUAACAGUAUCUACGGAACACUGUUUUUGGGCAUCGUUACUGGGAAAAAUCGAUGUUCGACCUGAUAGGACACAGAAAAUAUGGAUUCAUGACGCAGUUCCUCAAAGGGCCUAGCUGCUGUUAAGCAAGGUUUUCGAAAAAGUUCUGUGGCUAAGUUGCAGUGAGCCUGCGCACGAAUAAACGCGCAAUGCGACACGCGAUAGAAUAGGACAGGGAGUCUCGUAAUCUCGUUAAAAAGAGACGGAACGGGGGAUGUAGAAGCGCACAGCAGCGUUCACGAUUAACGGAAAUACAAUAUUGAAGACUAUUUCGUGUUCAAUUUACAAAAUAAUGUUCAUUUUCAAUCGCUUUAUGUUCGAAUAUGUAUCUGAUACAGUAGAGGAUGCUGUCUCUUUAUUGUAUUCGAAAAAAUUGAAAACUUUAUACGAUUAUUAAAUUUCCUGGAUAACAUUAUUAAAAAUGUUAG
rnacentral:lncRNA from 1 species